rnacentral:rRNA from 1 species
CCGAUGGAGGGGGAUAACUACUGGAAACGGUAGCUAAUACCGCAUAACGUCGCAAGACCAAAGAGGGGACCUUCGGGCCUCUUGCCAUCGGAUGUGCCCAGAUGGGAUUAGCUAGUAGGUGGGGUAACGGCUCACCUAGGCGACGAUCCCUAGCUGGUCUGAGAGGAUGACCAGCCACACUGGAACUGAGACACGGUCCAG